UACGUAGGCAGCAAGCGUUGUUCGGAAUUACUGGGCGUAAAGAGUGUGUAGGCGGUGCUCUAAGUUCGGUGUGAAAUCUCCCGGCUCAACUGGGAGGGUGCGCCGAAAACUGGAGUGCUGGAGCGCGGGAGAGGAAAGCGGAAUUCCUGGUGUAGCGGUGGAAAUGCGUAGAUAUCAGGAGGAACACCGGCGGUGUAGACGGCUUUCUGGACCGUAGCUGACGCUGGAGAACACGAAAGCGUGGGUAGCAAACAGG
rnacentral:rRNA from 1 species